AGAAAAAUUAAUUUUUGUUAAAAUACCAGAUGGGCCUCCUGCGGAAGUGAUGUAUGUGGCGAUGUGGCAUACUGGAAGCUUGGAGUAACUCGGUUGUUUAUAUCCUAUGCUUACAUCAUGGUUUUGCUAGGUUUUAAAGUAUUUUUACCAAAUUUACAGGUUUUUAAAAAAGUAUGCUUAAAUGCCAAAAUGAUACUAAAAAGAAGGGUGAGAAGAUAUCUUUUCACCAUUUACCUGGCCGGAAUCAUCAGACUAUUCACAAGAAAUGGAUUCCUACCAUCGGAAGGCCUCAAAACAAUCUGCCUGCGGUGCCCUACUUAUGCUUCAAACAUUUUGAAUCAUCCUGUUUUGAUGAGUGAAAAGAAUUAAAGGCAAGAUUAAUGGGGGCUUCCAGAAUAAAAAAAAGAUAAGACGAUGCCAUGCCAACAAUAUUUGCCCAUCGUUCAGCUCCAAAAGUCCACUGAUGCACUGUUGAAUGGCAACAGAGACAACACCACUGGGAGGUUAGUUUCAACUUUAUUCUACCAUGAUUAUUUGUCUUAUAUUAUUGGUGUCUUACCUGGUGAAUUGUAAUUGGUAUUCCAAUGCAUUGUAGGCUCUUCAGAGUAUACUGGAAGAAAAUAGGUGCAACAAAGAAAACACAGAUGGAUCAAGAGACGAAGCAUUUGAUUGAGUUUCAGGAACAUGAAUUGACCAGAAAGAGGGAUAUUGCUGUGCAAACAGGUGAACCAGUCAGUGUUGAAAUCCAGACAGAGACAGUUGUCUUCAAAGACAAGAUUAUCCAGUGUUCUUUGUUGGGAGAUGAACACGUCCCAUUAGAUGAUUCGUUCGAACUCUAUGGUACUGAAAGUGAAGAAAUUGUUGACAGUGACUCUGAAUGGUUCUGUUCCUCAUCACAAGAAACACAAACAACUGAGAGUUCUCAAGAAUCUGACUAAAGUGAAGCUGUUGAUAGUGAGCUACUCCUUGUCCAUGCAGGGAAAUUACAACUACUGCUCCAACACUGUCCUACAUGUGGCUGUCCCAUUGAUAAAAAAGACAGAAAAAUGCAUACUAAUGAAGGGACUCUAAUGACUGUGGAAAUUAAUUAGCUGCAGCUACAUAUGGAAAUCACAGAAAGAAUUGAAAAAUGCCAAGGGAUCAGUAAAUGUAAUCAUAAUGAGUGGUAUUAUGUUUGCAAAAUUUCAAUAGUUGGCUUCACGACUGAAUUUGCAUGAUGUUAGUAGUGGAACAUUUUAUGCACUGAGAAGAGACUAUGUUCUACCUGCCAUUGCCAAUGAAUGGCAGAAAGAACAAGAACAAGUGAAGUGAUGCAUUAGAGAACAGGGUGAACCCCUUAUGCUUGCUGGUGAUGGCCAUGCAGAUUCACCUGGACACAGUGCCAAAUAUUGCACUUACACAAUGAUGGACAUUGAUACAGAUAAAGUAGUUGACUUUGAAGUAAUACAAGUCAUGGAUGUGAAAAAUUCCAAUGCUUUAGAAAAGCAAGGAUUCAUUACCACAUUAUCAAGGAUUGAAAGUGAGUGUGAGGUGCUUGGUGUUUCAACAGAUAGACACAUCCAGAUAAAGUAUGAGAGAGGAACACCCUAACAAGAUUCACCAAAUUGAUCCUCGGCACUUGUCAAAGGCAGUAACUAAAAAGAUUGCUGCUGCAUCAUAGAAAUUGUAGUGAACUUCUUGAGUGGAAUCAGUCCAUAGUCAGUCACUUCUGAUGGUCAGUUGAUUCCUGUGGUGGGGACCCAGACAACUUGGUGGAGAGAUGUACUUCAUCACAUUUACUUCACAUCGCAUUGUGAAAUGCCACCAAUGGCUGUUAUUACAGGGAGUGUGAACAUGGUCCAUUGGCACCAGAAUUACAAAAAAAGAAGAAAUGGAUGAAGCCAAGCUCUCUAGCCCAUACGGAAUUGACCAAGAUAAUAAAAGAUAAAGGCUUCUUUAAGAUCUCAAACAGUGCUGUCUUGGAGUGGUGACAACUAUGUUGGCAGUAUAUCAGUCACUCUACCUGAAGUACCUUCCCAAAAUCCAGCAUUUCAGGUAUGACAUGAUGGUGGCUGGUACACACCUUGCUGCUCUGGAUCACAGCAAGAAUGCAGAAAGGAAUCGUGCAAUAAUAUCAGAUGGGGAGAGAGAAGGUGAGGGGCGAUACAAGAUUAAGUGGAAUAAAGUGACCAGAAAAUUCACUGCCCAGCU